GAGCAAUCUUCAUGCGGAUAGACCAAGGAAGAGGCAUGGAUCUCCUGAACAGAUGAUUUUCCAAGCUUCCUCGAGGCAUAAAUUCAUAAACUAACAGUCUCUGAUCAUCUUCAAUGCAGUAACCAAUCAGUUUAACCAAAUUAGGGUGAACGAGAUCACCCAGGAAAUUCACUUCAGCCAGCCAUUCUUUGUGACCCUGAAGUCCAUCAUGAUUUAGAGUUUUCACAGCAACAGUAAGCCCUGUCCCUGGUUUAACAGGUGCUGUGCCAUUCUCUUCGAUCCACCCCUUGAAGACACAUCCGAAACCCCCUUCACCAAGAAGGGACUCUGGUCUGAAGUUUCUUGUUGCCAACUUCAAAUCGUUAAAUGCGAAUUUUCGAAGCCGAGAAGAAACUUUAAGCUCCUCUUCAAGUUUGGAGGUGGAUGAAUUACUUUCCGCAUUGCUGGUAGUCGUAGAUGAGAUAAUUGGUGCAACAGGUUGGUCUCUGCUUGUGUCAUUUGUAGAUUUACUUUCACAGUGAGUACUGAUGCCACUUAUGGAGCUAUCAACUUUAGAUCUUGAAGAGAUACAGCUACCAAUAAACCACAACUUAGUCCAACAUCCAGUUUCCUCUUCAACAACCUCUUUCUUCUUCUUCCCCUUUGAUUUCUCUACAUCCCAAGACCCCCCCUUUACACCA
rnacentral:misc_RNA from 1 species